AUGCUAGCUAGUGUUAUUUUUGAUAGCUUGGGUCCUAGUGCCAAGCCCUCCUUGAUCUAUCUCAGCAUUUUUGUAAGUCAUGACCCUCCUGAGAGCUGGACAGAUUAUAUUUUUGAGAUGGUGAAGGCUGAACCCCAUUGUCUCUCCAGUGAAUAGAGGAUGAUUGGGGCCAUCCUUGGGACCAAAAGCAGUAAGGAAUUGUGUCAGCAUCUGGGCUUGUAACAAUAAGAUAUAUAUCCCAUGUACAUGGGUACAUGUAACAUCCUUAGGCACUGUAGGACUUUUAAACUCUAUUUCAUGGGGAGAAUUUCUAGAAGAGUUUAUCUACAUAUAUACAAUAGAGCUAUCAAAACAUUUUAUUUUAUUGAUAUAUUUUCUUUUUAAUAGUAGAUUCAUUUCUGGAUAUAUCACUACCUUUCCCCUUCCUAAUGAGAAUAGCCAUCAUAACAAAGAUUUUAAAAGAUAAAAGUGUACUUUGUUAAAAUAAUUUAACCUAUCAAUACAUCCAGUAAUCUACACCAGUGAUUAAAGAAUGGAGGUACAUUUUCACAACUCCUAUCUAUUGUCAAAUGAUCAUUAUAGUUGUUAGGUUUUCAGUUUUCUUCAUUUUUCUGUUUACACUGCAAUAGUCAUUAUGUAUAAAGCAUUGUUGGUUCAGUUUACUUUGUAUCAAUUCAUAUAAGUUUUCUUAUGGCACAGUCAAAUUUCAGUACAGUCAUAUUGUUGUUCUUCCUUCAUUUCAAAGAGGACCAAUUACAUUACAGAGUGAUGCCUGGACUUUGAGUGUGAACUGGAUUCAAGUGAGGCAGAGUUGCACAAAGUCAUCAAUCUCAUUGUCUUCUCCAGAGUCAUCCAAGAUGAAAAAAAAUGACAUCCAGAGAUAUAAAGGGACUUGCCUACAGUUGAGGAAAUUGGAACCUAAGGAUAUUUUACAAAACCACAUAAAACAAGCAUUUCUAUAUACAAAGAAAAAGAAGAUUGUAUGUAAAUGAAAUCAUAAAUAUCUUAAAUGUUUGGCAUACUUUUCCUUAUAAUUACAUAA